GCGGAUGUGGCGGAAUGGCAGACGCACUAGCUUCAGGUGCUAGUGUUCGCAAGGACGUGGGGGUUCAAGUCCCCCCAUCCGCACCA
rnacentral:tRNA from 1 species